UCCUGGUUAACCCAGGCAGUCUCGUUAGAGUUCCCGCCAUUACGCGCUGGCAACUAACGAUAAGGGUUGCGCUCGUUGCUGGACUUAACCAAACACCUCACGGCACGAGCUGACGACAGCCAUGCAGCACCUAUAUAGAGACCCUUACGGGAAAUAUCAUCUCUGAUAUCGUCCUCUACAUUUCGAGCCCAGGUAAGGUUCUUCGCGUUGCAUCGAAUUAAACCACAUGCUCCACUGCUUGUGCGGGCCCCCGUCAAUUCUUUUGAGUUUCACCCUUGCGAGCGUACUCCCCAGGCGGCAUACUUAAUGCGUUAGCUCCGGUACAGAGGGGGUUGAGCCCCCCUACACCUAGUAUGCAUCGUUUAAGGCUAGGACUAC
rnacentral:misc_RNA from 1 species